rnacentral:sRNA from 1 species
AUGUGAAAUAUUCCGCUUCGCGGAAUGUGAAAUGUUGACUUCGUCAACGUGAAAUAUUCGCUACCGCGAAUGUGAGAAUUACU